rnacentral:rRNA from 1 species
UACGGAAGGGGCUAGCGUUGUUCGGAAUCACUGGGCGUAAAGCGCGCGUAGGCGGCCGGUCAAGUGCGGCGUGAAAGUCCUGGGCUCAACCCGGGGACGGCGCUGCGGACUGUCCGGCUGGAGUCCGGAAGAGGGUGGUGGAAUUCCGAGUGUAGAGGUGAAAUUCGUAGAUAUUCGGAGGAACACCGGUGGCGAAGGCGGCCACCUGGUCCGGUACUGACGCUCAAGCGCGAAAGCGUGGGGAGCAAACGGG